rnacentral:misc_RNA from 1 species
ACAUGUUUUCUGUGAAAACGGAG